rnacentral:rRNA from 1 species
AUUGAACGCUGGCGGCAGGCCUAACACAUGCAAGUCGAGCGGAUGAAGGGAGCUUGCUCCUGGAUUCAGCGGCGGACGGGUGAGUAAUGCCUAGGAAUCUGCCUGGUAGUGGGGGAUAACGUCCGGAAACGGGCGCUAAUACCGCAUACGUCCUGAGGGAGAAAGUGGGGGAUCUUCGGACCUCACGCUAUCAGAUGAGCCUAGGUCGGAUUAGCUAGUUGGUGGGGUAAAGGCCUACCAAGGCGACGAUCCGUAACUGGUCUGAGAGGAUGAUCAGUCACACUGGAAAUGAGACACGGUCCAGACUCCUACGGGAGGCAGCAGAGGGGAAUAUUGGACAAUGGGCGAAAGCCUGAUCCAGCCAUGCCGCGUGUGUGAAGAAGGUCUUCGGAUUGUAAAGCACUUUAAGUUGGGAGGAAGGGCAGUAAGUUAAUACCUUGCUGUUUUGACGUUACCAACAGAAUAAGCACCGGCUAACUUCGUG